rnacentral:rRNA from 1 species
GAUGAACGCUGGCGGCGUGCUUAACACAUGCAAGUCGAACGGUGAAAGCGGAGCUUGCUCCGCUGGAUCAGUGGCGAACGGGUGAGUAACACGUGGGCAACCUGCCCCUCACUUCGGGAUAACUCCGGGAAACCGGGGCUAAUACCGGAUAUGACCUCCUUGGGCAUCCUUGGAGGUGGAAAGUUUUUCGGUGAGGGAUGGGCCCGCGGCCUAUCAGCUUGUUGGUGAGGUAGUGGCUCACCAAGGCGACGACGGGUAGCCGGCCUGAGAGGGCGACCGGCCACACUGGGACUGAGACACGGCCCAGACUCCGACGGGAGGCAGCGGUGGGGAAGAUUGCGCAAUGGGCGAAAGCCUGACGCAGCAACGCCGCGUGCGGGAUGACGGCCUUCGGGUUGUAAACCGCUUUCAGCAGGGAAGAAGCCGCAAGGUGACGGUACCUGCAGAAGAAGCACCGGCUAACUACGUGCCAGCAGCCGCCGUAA